AAGCUUCAGGCAGCCAGGACAGGCAGAUGGCACGCACCACCCCCUCUAUGUGAGAUGGGUGCUACCAGGCCUCUGUGCUCUGCACAGAAGAGCAGCCUGAUAAAUCCGCACAGCAAGUGACUCGCUGCAGCACCCAGGGAGCGCCCAGCUUCUCCAGCGCCUUAUCCAUCACACUCAGGACCCACAAGAAGCUCCACACACCAAGGGCCUGUCAUAAGCGUCUCCCCAGAGCUCCCACCCUCUACCCUGGGCGAAGGAACGCUGACUUCAAGAAGCCUCCCUAAAAACCCACGAGGACAGGGUUUGGAGAGACCCUGCACUCCAUGGAUCAGCUGGCACCCCCCAGAAUGAUAAACUGGCUCAUCCCAUCUUGUGGCCCCCACCCAGGAACUGACUCAGCGCAAGAGGACACCUUCAACUCCCUAGGUUUUCAUCUCCAACUCACUGGCCCCUACACACCAAGUUAUCCUUAAAAACUGAUCCCGAAUGCUCGGGGAGACUGAUUUGAGUCAUAAUAAAACUCCAUUCUCCUGCACAGCUGGCUCUGCACGACUCACUCUUUCUCAAUCCUAAUUCCCGUCUCAGUGAAUUGGCUCUGCCUAGGCAGCGGGUGGGGUGAACCCGUUGGG